AUGAACGCUAGCUACAGGCUUAACACAUGCAAGUCGAGGGGCAUCAGGAAGAAAGCUUGCUUUCUUUGCUGGCGACCGGCGCACGGGUGAGUAACACGUAUCCAACCUGCCCUUUACUCGGGGAUAGCCUUUCGAAAGAAAGAUUAAUACCCGAUAGUAUAAUGAUUCCGCAUGGUUUCAUUAUUAAAGGAUUCCGGUAAAGGAUGGGGAUGCGUUCCAUUAGGUUGUUGGUGAGGUAACGGCCCACCAAGCCUUCGAUGGAUAGGGGUUCUGAGAGGAAGGUCCCCCACAUUGGAACUGAGACACGGUCCAAACUCCUACGGGAGGCAGCAGUGAGGAAUAUUGGUCAAUGGGCGCUAGCCUGAACCAGCCAAGUAGCGUGAAGGAUGAAGGCUCUAUGGGUCGUAAACUUCUUUUAUAUAAGAAUAAAGUGCAGUAUGUAUACUGUUUUGUAUGUAUUAUAUGAAUAAGGAUCGGCUAACUCCGUGCCAGCAGCCGCGGUAAUACGGAGGAUCCGAGCGUUAUCCGGAUUUAUUGGGUUUAAAGGGAGCGUAGGUGGACUGGUAAGUCAGUUGUGAAAGUUUGCGGCUCAACCGUAAAAUUGCAGUUGAUACUGUCAGUCUUGAGUACAGUAGAGGUGGGCGGAAUUCGUGGUGUAGCGGUGAAAUGCUUAGAUAUCACGAAGAACUCCGAUUGCGAAGGCAGCUCACUGGACUGCAACUGACACUGAUGCUCGAAAGUGUGGGUAUCAAACAGGAUUAGAUACCCUGGUAGUCCACACAGUAAACGAUGAAUACUCGCUGUUUGCGAUAUACAGUAAGCGGCCAAGCGAAAGCAUUAAGUAUUCCACCUGGGGAGUACGCCGGCAACGGUGAAACUCAAAGGAAUUGACGGGGGCCCGCACAAGCGGAGGAACAUGUGGUUUAAUUCGAUGAUACGCGAGGAACCUUACCCGGGCUUAAAUUGCAGUGGAAUGAUGUGGAAACAUGUCAGUGAGCAAUCACCGCUGUGAAGGUGCUGCAUGGUUGUCGUCAGCUCGUGCCGUGAGGUGUCGGCUUAAGUGCCAUAACGAGCGCAACCCUUGUUGUCAGUUACUAACAGGUUAUGCUGAGGACUCUAGAGAGACUGCCGUCGUAAGAUGUGAGGAAGGUGGGGAUGACGUCAAAUCAGCACGGCCCUUACGUCCGGGGCUACACACGUGUUACAAUGGGGGGUACAGAAGGCAGCUAGCGGGUGACCGUAUGCUAAUCCCAAAAUCCUCUCUCAGUUCGGAUCGAAGUCUGCAACCCGACUUCGUGAAGCUGGAUUCGCUAGUAAUCGCGCAUCAGCCACGGCGCGGUGAAUACGUUCCCGGGCCUUGUACACACCGCCCGUCAAGCCAUGGGAGCCGGGGGUACCUGAAGUACGUAACCGCAAGGAUCGUCCUAGGGUAAAACUGGUA
rnacentral:rRNA from 1 species